AACAUCGCGCACCUGCGGGAACCUGCGGAAGGAUCAUUACCAAAAAAACAAGCUCUUUGCUUGGGGUCUCCCCCAGCAAGGUUCUAAACCCUUUGUGAACCAAAAAUCUAUACUGCUUCGGCAGCAGGUCUGGUUGAAAGACCUAGCUGUAAGCCUGCCGGUGGCAACCUUAAACUCUUGAAUUUUAAACCUAUUGUCGACCCAUAUUUUUUGAAUAAAAUCAAAACUUUCAACAACGGA
rnacentral:misc_RNA from 1 species